UACGAGACUGUUCUCUUUGAGGCCGGUCAUCGGAAUGGGUACAAUUUAAACCCUUUAACGAGUAUCAAGCAGAGGGCAAGUCUGGUGCCAGCAGCCGCGGUAAUUCCAGCUCUGCUAAUACAUAGAAUUAUUGCUGCGGUUAAAAAGCUCGUAGUUGGAUUCGUAUCGGUAUCCUGGAACCCUCCGGGUGUUUCUGGGUGUUAUCGAUUUAUCGUAAUGUUCGGUUUUGAGUCCUUAACAGGAUUCUUAACAGGCAUUGCAAGUUUACUUUGAACAAAUCAGAGUGCUUCAAACAGGCGUUUUCGCUUGAAUGAUCGUGCAUGGAAUAAUAGAAAACGAUUUCGGUUCAGUUUUAUUGGUUUUACGGACUGAGAUAAUGGUUAACAGAGACAAACGGGGGCAUUUGUAUGGCCCCGUGAGAGGUGAAAUUCUUGGACCGUGGCCAGACAAACUACAGCGAAAGCAUUUGCCAAGAAUGUUUUUAUUAAUCAAGAACGAAAGUCAGAGGUUCGAAGGCGAUCAGAUACCGCCCUAGUUCUGACCGUAAACGAUGCCAACUAGCGAUCCGCCGAUGGAAAUUAUAUUGCCUUGGUGGGGAGCUUCCCGGAAACGAAAGUCUUCCGGUUCCGGGGGAAGUAUGGUUGCAAAGCUGAAACUUAAAGGAAUUGACGGAAGGGCACCACCAGGAGUGGAGCCUGCGG
rnacentral:rRNA from 1 species